GUGUCAGCCGCCGCGGUAAGACGAACCGUGCGAACGUUGUUCGGAAUCACUGGGCUUAAAGGGCGCGUAGGCGGGCCGGCAAGUCGGAGGUGAAAGCCCCCAGCUCAACUGGGGAAGUGCCCUCGAUACUGCCGGCCUGGAGGGAGGUAGGGGCGUGCGGAACUUCCGGUGGAGCGGUGAAAUGCGUAGAUAUCGGAAGGAACACCGGUGGCGAAGGCGGCACGCUGGGCCUCUCCUGACGCUGAGGCGCGAAAGCCAGGGGAGCGAACGGGAUUAGAUACCCCGGUAGUCCUGGCCCUAAACGAUGGGCACUAGGUAGCGGGCUUCCAUGGGCCCGCUGCCGGAGCAAAAGUGUUAAGUGCCCCGCCUGGGGAGUAUGGUCGCAAGGCUGAA
rnacentral:rRNA from 1 species